rnacentral:tmRNA from 1 species
GGCGCCUCCACCAAAAUAUAAACAACCAAAAUUAUAUUUUGGUGGGGGCGAAAUAGGAUCGACAAGGGUGUAAAGAUCGCUCUUUUACUCGGCAUUGUACCACCGUUAUCGGGCUAAAUGAGUAGUUGCAAAUGACAACUAUGCGGAAGCACGUCUCGCCGCCUAAGGUGGUGUGAAUGUUUCAAAUUGACUCUUAAACCGUCGCAGGUUUAAGCGGGGUUGGAAGGCACCUGG